rnacentral:rRNA from 1 species
CGUUUAGGGGUAAACCUGAGAAACCCGAAAGGUCGAAGGGAGAAAUUCAUUCGCGUUUUGACGUUGACGWUGAGUASKGUYGUGUGACGRAAUKUGYCUCGGUAYWUUUCGCGCCCUCUACUUUUACGAAUCGAUGACAAACGUGUGCACUUUUCUCCUGGUAGGACGUCGCAAUCCGUUGGGUGUUGGUCUACGACUCAUGGUGGAGCCCGUUUAUCUUGUAUAGGCGGACCCGUGUGUUCUGGCCAACUUGCUCGACGGUAUAAUUGUGGUUCGAGACCGCUUUUCUAAGCGUCUGACUUGUGGCAAGCGCGCCAGAUGUUUGUUGGCGAUCGGACCUAGUGCCGAUUCCGACCUCUGGUGACUGUUGGCCAUAAUGUUCUUGGACAGAUCUCGUAACCGUUUAGCGGCGCUAUAGCUUUGGGUACUUUCAGGACCCGUCUUGAAACACGGACCAAGGAGUCUAGCAUGUGCGCGAGUCAUUGGGAAUUAUUAAACCUAAAGGCGUAAUGAAAGUGAAGGUUUUCCUUGCGUUAACCGAGGGAGGAUAAGUGUCAUUUUUUGAUGCUUCGCACUCCCGGGGCGUCUCAUUCUCAUUACGAGUAGAGGCGCACCAAGAGCGUACACGCUGGGACCCGAAAGAUGGUGAACUAU